CAGCGGUAACCCCUUCCACUGUGACUGCCAGCUGCUCCCGCUGCACAGAUGGCUCACGGGGCUGAACCUGCGGGUGGGCGCCACCUGUGCCACCCCUCCCAGUGUCCGUGGCCAGAAGGUGAAGGCUGCAGCUUCUGUCUUUGAAGCCUGCCCAGGCUGGAUUGCCAGGAAGGCCAAGAGGACACCAACCUCCGGGGUAGAGAAGCAAAGGGACUACAUCUGAGAAUGGAGCAGCCUGUCCCCGACUCAACCCAGCCCACCAGCUCUUACUGUCAUCAGGAACUGGUUCCGAGACCCCCAAAGCCUCAAGGUUGUCCUCCAGUAAGGGUUUCUUGGAGCUCUGUCUGAGGGGCCGAGUCUUGGCUGACGGGAUUCUUUUCCCUAUGAAUAAAACCAAACCUAGCAUU
rnacentral:lncRNA from 1 species